AAAAAAGUUUUUUAUUUUUUUAAUUAUUGAUAAAUGCACUGGCCGAAUAUUUUGGAACGUGGAAAUAAAAAGAUAAAUAGAAGUAAAUAAAUGUUAUCAGUUUUCAUUCCAAUCUGGGGUCAGUCAGAGUUAACCUAUUAAGAGAAAUCAUUAAAAAAAUAAACAAAAGUUAAUUAUAGUUAGUUGUAGAUUUAAUAUGUUUAGAUAACCUCUUUAAAAAGGUCUGUCAACAAUCAUCGACGUGUUUGUGUUCUCGUUUUUGUCUUUAUUUAAAUAACUGAUCAAAUAGCGUGAUGUUGAGUUACAGAAUAAUAUUGUUUACAUAUUUUUAAACGUCAGUUCUUACUGUCGACACAUCUGUACAAAACCAUGUUGUCUUACAAAAUUGAGAAUACCUAAUAAGUAUUAGACAUCUACAGGAAAAGAUUUAGCUUCAACGUGACCCCUCCACCCCGCCCCGCUCGUGUCUCGCCGCCACUCAGGGUCAAUAUUAG